CUCCACUUUACUGCUACUAAUUACCAUCCAUAUCAGUACGUUCCAGGAAGCCGCCAGUCUCUGUGGUUUGUGGUUUGUAGCACACCAGCAUUCCCCUGGCCUUGAGGGAGCUCCCACAGGACGAGAAAGAUUGUUCUCUUCACUGGCCUCCUGGUGGCCGUGUUGGCUCUCCCGUCAGAUCUGUCCGGCUCCUUCGUGUCCCAGGCUCCGGCGAACUAUGAGUUCCAGUACGCUGUAAUGGACGACCCCUCCGGUAACAACUUCGGCCAGCAGGAGCACCGUGACGGAGAUUUCACUCAGGGCUCCUACCACGUGAGGCUUCCUGACGGCCGCCUCCUGAAGGUGUCCUACACUGUUUCUCGGGACUCUGGCUACGUGGCUCAAGUCACCUACGAGGGCGAAGCUCGUUAUCCAGCAAGUUGAAGCUCUCCAGUACACCCAACAAUGUGGAUCAUUCAUUACAGCAGAAAAAACAACUCAGUGGCUACUGGAAGGUCGAAACCGGACCGAAACGUUGUCAUAAGAUUCUUCUAUGUGCGGGUUGUUUAUAUAUGUUAACCACCACUCAUUAUCACAACGAAAUAAUGAAGCCAGCCAU